rnacentral:rRNA from 1 species
AACGAACGCUGGCGGCAGGCUUAACACAUGCAAGUCGAACGCAUCCUUCGGGGUGAGUGGCAGACGGGUGAGUAACGCGUGGGAACGUGCCCUUCAGUUCGGGAUAACCCAGGGAAACUUGGGCUAAUACCGGAUACGUGCGAGAGCAGAAAGAUUUAUCGCUGAAGGAUCGGCCUGCGUCUGAUUAGCUAGUUGGUGGGGUAAUGGCCCACCAAGGCGACGAUCAGUAGCUGGUCUGAGAGGAUGAUCAGCCACAUUGGGACUGAGACACGGCCCAAACUCCUACGGGAGGCAGCAGUGGGGAAUAUUGGACAAUGGGCGCAAGCCUGAUCCAGCCAUGCCGCGUGAGUGAUGAAGGCCUUAGGGUUGUAAAGCUCUUUCGUCCGGGACGAUAAUGACGGUACCGGAAGAAGAAGCCCCGGCUAACCUCGUGCCAGCCGCCGCAGUAA